rnacentral:rRNA from 1 species
AACCCUGAGGCGUGAUGACGAUGCACUACGGUGCAGAAGUAGUUGAUGCCCUGCUUCCAGGAAAAGCCUCUAAGCUCCAGGUAACAUUAAAUCGUACCCCAAACCGACACAGGUGGUCAGGUAGAGAAUACCAAGGCGCUUGAGAGAACUCGGGUGAAGGAACUAGGCAAAAUGGUGCCGUAACUUCGGGAGAAGGCACGCUGG